GACGUAGGGCGCAAGCGUUGUCCGGAUUUAUUGGGCGUAAAGAGCUCGUAGGCGGCCUGUCGCGUCGACCGUGAAAACCCGCAGCUCAACUGCGGGCUUGCGGUCGAUACGGGCAGGCUGGAGUUCGGUAGGGGAGACUGGAAUUCCUGGUGUAGCGGUGAAAUGCGCAGAUAUCAGGAGGAACACCGGUGGCGAAGGCGGGUCUCUGGGCCGAUACUGACGCUGAGGUGCGAAAGCGUGGGGAGCGAACAGG
rnacentral:rRNA from 1 species